GGAGAGGUAUCGAAGUGGUCAUAACGGGGCGCACUCGAAAUGCGUUUGGGGGAAACUCCACGUGGGUUCGAAUCCCACCCUCUCCGCCA
rnacentral:tRNA from 1 species